UUUAAACUCCAUCUUUACACAUUAGUAUCUCAAACUAACUAAUUUAUCUGCUUCUUGGACACUUUGGAGAACGACAGGGAGAGGAAGAGAGAAACUGGAGGUAAACAUCAUUCAGCAGUGAAUUUAUCUGUGAGUAAGAAUUCAGUCAGUGUCCUAAAGACCGGAAAACAGAAACUUUCUGCGACACUUCCGGUUGAAGCUUCCGGUAAUCACGCCCAGGUGUGUUCAGGUGUUCUCAGGUGUGUAUAUCAUUGUUUCGACCAGGUAAGCGGUGCGGACCGCGGGCAGCAUGUUGGAAGAAGAAGGAGCCGGGGAAGGAAACAUGAAGUCUAGAUACUCAGAACUCUGUUGACGUCUUCCAGGAGGAUCCCCCGUCGGUGGCCGUCUUCCUGCUCAGGUAGGAGACUCAAAGCUUUCUUAAUGUUGUUUUAUUAUGUUCCAGGUUUUAGGUCUUAUAGAU